CUAAUCUCAGAAUAGUUUUCAGAUAAGUGAAAUGCCACUCUUUUGCUUCUUCAAAAAAAAUUUAAUUAAAUGAUAAACUUUUGUUUUCCAGAUGUGACUGGUCAGCUGGAAGUUAAUAACAGUUACUUGUAUCAUAUGCUGUCUUGAUUGUACAAUGUCUAAAAGCAUUAUCCUGGUUCCUAUUUGGCAAUUUUUGUUCACAAACUAAACAGUUGUAAAUCUGUGAGACAGACUAAUAUGCUAACAUUGUUUGAACAAAAUUGCUAAUAGAAGUUGCCUGUAAUUUUUUUCACCUUCAGGAAGCAAACUUAAUUAGAAGACAAUAUGCCCCUAAGAGUAUCUCACUUCCUUAUCACUCUUAUUGAAAAGUUACUUUGAAAAAUAAAGAAUACACUAAAUGUUAAAGAAUAAACAUUUUAUAGCCAUGAAUACUGAUGAUGUAUGUAGAAUUGCAGGAACCCAAGUUGUGUAGUCUUCAAAACACUGAAAAUAUUUCAAUUACCCGUGUUUUCAUCUGGCAUUUUAAUGAGCUUUUCCUUGUCUCUGUCCAUUUUAUGACUUUGCUAUUGUAGGUCAUCUUGUGCUACAUGCAAAAUGGGUUUUAAAAGAUUCCAACAAUCUAUGUACCAAGGAAUAAAACACUGUG
rnacentral:lncRNA from 1 species